rnacentral:rRNA from 1 species
GUGCCAGCAGCCGCGGUAAGACAGAGGGUGCAAACGUUGUUCGGAAUUACUGGGCGUAAAGCGCGUGUAGGUGGCGAGGCAAGUCGGGUGUGAAAGCCCUGGGCUCAACCCAGGAAGUGCACUCGAUACUGCCUAGCUAGAGUCCCGGAGAGGUUGGUGGAACUCUCGGUGUAGAGGUGAAAUUCGUAGAUAUCGAGAAGAACACCGGUGGCGAAGGCGGCCAACUGGACGGUGACUGACACUGAGACGCGAAAGCGUGGGGAGCAAACAGGAUUAGAUACCCUGGUAGUCC